GAAGAUAGGUUAUCCGUGUUGCCUUCGUUGUAUUUGUGUCGAAUCAUACGCGGUUGACCUAUUUU
ensembl:miRNA MIR154 microRNA 154